UACGGGGGGAGCAAGCGUUGUUCGGAUUUACUGGGCGUAAAGAGCGCGCAGGCGGUCGGAUCAGUCGAAUGUGAAAGCCCUCGGCUUAACUGGGGAGGGUCAUUCGAUACUGUUCGACUCGAAGGCAGGAGAGGGAAGUGGAAUUCCCGGUGUAGUGGUGAAAUGUGUAGAUAUCGGGAGGAACACCAGUGGCGAAGGCGACUUUCUGGCCUGUUCUUGACGCUGAGGCGCGAAAGCUAGGGGAGCAAACGGG
rnacentral:rRNA from 1 species